CACGUAGGGCGCAAGCGUUGUCCGGAAUUAUUGGGCGUAAAGAGCUCGUAGGCGGUUUGGUAAGUCCGCUGUGAAAGCCCGGAGCUCAACUCCGGAGGGUCGGUGGAUACUGCCAGUCUUGAAGGUGCUAGGGGGAGAUGGAAUUACCGGUGUAGCGGUGAAAUGCGUAGAUAUCGGUAGGAACACCAGUGGCGAAGGCGGUCUCCUGGGGCAUUCUUGACGCUGAGGCGCGAAAGCUGGGGGAGCGAACGGG
rnacentral:rRNA from 1 species